CCUGCGCGACGGCAAGGGCGAAAUCGACGACAUCGAUCACCUCGGCAACCGGCGCGUGCGCUCGGUCGGCGAGCUGAUGGAGAACCAGUACCGCAUCGGUCUGCUGCGCAUGGAGCGCGCGAUCAAGGAGCGCAUGUCGUCGGUCGAUAUCGACACCGUCAUGCCGCAGGACCUGAUCAACGCGAAGCCUGCUGCUGCCGCCGUGCGUGAAUUCUUCGGCUCAUCGCAGCUGUCGCAGUUCAUGGACCAGACCAACCCGCUGUCGGAAAUCACCCACAAGCGCCGUCUCUCGGCGCUUGGACCGGGCGGUCUG
rnacentral:misc_RNA from 1 species